GCGGAACCCUCUCCACCAGGCUCCGCGUCGAGGCCCUACGGGGCGUCAAUACGCACGCGUACUUUGUGUCCCAGGUAGCUCGUCUCUUAGCCAUGUACGCCUCUGCAUUCCGGUCACUGGGAGCGGGGCCGUGGGGGCUGCACAUGCGCACUGCGAGUCCUCGCCUACUCCCAGAAACCACCCGGGCGCAUACGCGGUGCGGCCGCUGCUUCAGGUCGGCGGGCUCCAGGGAGACCUGGGUGGGCAGCGUCGCCGUUUCUCCUUUCUUGGGCAGUAUUUUUCCCAGCGCCACGCGGAGGCUGGGCCAUUAUGAGGUUUGUGUUGCGUCGGGGCGGUCCGUCUCAGAGGCGCUCCGGGGAGGAGUGGGCGGCUGAAUGGCCAGAGGCCCAGGGAUCCGUUCAGCUCUGCAUUUCCAGGACCUGGUCACUAUUCAGGACACGGUUCCAGCGCAGUGCGCGUUAGCCAUGUCUCAGGUAAGUUUUUGUCCUGCAACAUCAUAGGUUUUAAGUCCUGGGCACAUCUAAUUUUGCUUACUUGGGUGGUAAAGACUGACACCGGUACAAG
rnacentral:lncRNA from 1 species